UUUAUCAUCUCGACCGGUCAUAUACUCGUAUUUGUAUAUACGAGCUGGCCGUGAAUCUCUUGGCCUCUCAACAACUCUCUUUCUCUUUCUCUCUCUCGGAAUGGAAAAGAAGGUAGAAAAAGGAAAACAGGAGAGUUUGAUCAGAACGAAGGCGAUGUCCUUAAAAGGCAACAACGUUAUUCCCGCAGCAGCAGCAGCAGCAAACACACACAGAAAACCCAGGAGAGAAGAAGGAGAAGAAGGAGAGAUGGGAUAUGGUGGAUAGAGCAGGGCUCCCCUCUUUUCUGGAAUACUUUGCCCAUUUAAGGGAUGAGACCUGGGCCGGGGCUAAAGAGAUGGGCGAGUCUCUUUUUGAAAAUAAUAAUAAACGAGGAGAGGAUGAAACACACCACACCACCAACCAUCUUUGCAUAUGGUCUUAUUGGGUCCUUAAAAGACUUUGGUCAUCACCUCUGCACGGACCAGGCGAAACUUUCUCUUCUGUGAGCUGUUGCUCCCGACCAUCAUCAUCGUGUGUCAGACUUGAUAAAUAAAAAACGGGCACUGGGUUGUUGUUGUUGUUGUUGUUGUAGGCCAUCGCGCGUAAUUUGCCCGCCCGUGCAAUAGACAAGUCAAAAUGGGGGACCCGAAAGAAGAAAGAAAGAGCGUGUGUAAUGGGAGAGAACCUUGAAGUGACCAUGUUUAGCCAUGGCUCAGCCGCUUGUGGAUGAUACACACACAGAUGGUGGUGGUAGAUGUCACGUGAUUGGCCGUAUCUAUGUAUAUGUUAUAUCCAGCCGAGAGUAUUUCUUUUUUUUUUCCAUCCUAGUAGUAGUCAACAUGACCUAACCAUAAAUGUAUAGCGUCCAUCCAAUCAGGCAUUGAAAUCACUGAAAUUUCAACAACACCAUAUUCGUCUGUUUAGUUUCUUUUUUAAAAAUUAAUUUAAACCCCCCUCCCCCCCUAAAAAAUAAAAGUUGACAAAAAAAAACAGCUGGAGUUCAAUGUAUUUUUUAAAUUGGAAUUCGAGUCGGGUCAAUAAAUUUGCCAAAGAGAUUUAAAAAAAAAAUAAAAACAAGAAAGAAAAAACUGGUAUGGGUGAAGGAAAAAAGGAAAAAGAAUUGAAAUAAUAAUCCAACAGAAAUCACAAACGAGUUUAACGAUCUAGAAAGAGCCGUAAUUAAAA